AUUGAACGCUGGCGGCAGGCCUAACACAUGCAAGUCGAACGAGUGGCGGACGGGUGAGUAAUGUCUGGGAAACUGCCCGAUGGCGGGGGAUAACUACUGGAAACAGUAGCUAAUACCGCAUCCCAUCGGAUGUGCCCAGAUUGGAUUAGCUAGUAGGUGGGGUAACGGCUCACCAAGGCGACGAUCCCUAACUGGUCUUAGAGGAGGACCAGUCACACUGUAACGGAGACACGGUCCAGACUCCUACGGGAGGCAGCAGUGGGGAAUAUUGCACAAUGGGCGGAAGCCUGAUGCAGCCAUGCCGCGUGUAUGAAGAAGGCCUUCGGGUUGUAAAGUACUUUCAGCGAGGAGGCGUUACUCGCAGAAGAAGCACCGGCUAACUCCGUGCCAGCCGCCGCGGUAAUUC
rnacentral:rRNA from 1 species